GAUUCUACUUAUAAAGUAGCAACAUUCAAUAUGAACCCUUGAAUUUUUAUCUUUGGUACACAUGUCUACUUUUUAGUUUAGGGGAAGACAGUUGUUUCCCACUUCUAUAUGUUCCUUCUACUUUACUCUAUUACUAAUUUAUACAAAAUUGAUGGCUCUCUAAUUUCCAAUUGAUUGUUUUCCAUUGUUGCUUGGUGUAAAGAGAAUCAGUGCUAAGAAAUUGGUUAUUCAAAGUUAUUACAAACAAAGGACUGAUAAUAAUGCAAAAGAGGGAAUCAUUUCACGUGCGAUGGGGCCCAAUGCGCACCCGGCGGAAAAGAUAAGAUUCUUUUUCAUUUUGAAGUCCGGAGUUUAAAUUCCAGAAGUGUGUAUAUAAGAAGACAUUAUCAGAAGAAGAAAGCCAAGCGAAAAAAUCCACAACCAGCAAAUUCCAAAGCCUUCAAAAUCUCUUUCCUCUUCAGAACUACCUUUUAAAAAAAAAUAAAAAUAUUUUUAGUUCUUUGUUUAAAAGUUUGUGUUAAGUCAGUUUGGAAGUUUUUCGGGUUUCCCGAAAGGGAAACUUCACUCUGUUCUAAAGAAUGUAAGUUUUCAUAUUUACGUUUCUAGUAAACUUCCCAUAUAUGUAAAUUAUGUGUGUUUGGUAAAUUACAUGUGAUAUGUUAAUUAUUUGAUAAAUUUAUGAAUAUCAUCAUGAAUCUAUAUUACUUAGUAUAUGGUUAGUCUCUUAGCCUCUUAAAAGUAUCGAUGGAUUAACCUGUAAAUUCAUAGGACAUUGUUAGGUUAAACUAAAUGUUCUUAGAGAAGAACUAUGAAUAACCAAAUCCGGGGUGUGGUUAAAGAAGAUUACCUUUAAGAACAAAAGCUAAGAGAAAGAGAUGAACAGUAAUAAUAGAUUCAUGAGUGGACAA